rnacentral:lncRNA from 1 species
GCGGGGUGGUAGCACAGGAGGGGUUCGCAGGCUCUGCGGCCGUGCGUGGCGGGGCGUGGGGGCCCGCAGGGCGGAAGUAGCUCGGAGAGACGGGCUGGGGCAGGGCGUGCGUUCGUGCGGUCAAAAUCCACUGGUGGCGUUUGGGGUGUUCCCGUGGACGCGGCCUCCCGGCAGGCGGACCUCCACCGGGUGGGCGCGGCAGGCGGGCUGUGCGGGCAGGAAGAGCGACGAGCUUGAGAGUGGGAGAUGGGGUGCAACGGCGGGCCUCUCCGGGGAGGUGACACUGCCGCUGAGACCCGAAUGGAAGGGCGCGCCCGGCGGGGGAACAGCAGGCGCCGAGGUUCGCUGGAAGCAGGGAAGGGAGGCCCGGGUACCGGCUCGCAGGCCCGCGCGAGCUUCGCGGCAGCGGCACGGAGCGUGUGAACGGCGCAGCGCCGAGGCUUCAUCCAUCGGCCGGUGCAGGGUCCGGGCAGGGAGCACUGUCGACCAGGGUCCGACCCUGGGAGAGUCCAGAGGUGGCGCCUCUGGCAGGGACAGAGGAGGGGGUGACGCUGUAGGGGUGCAGGCAGGAGGCUCCGCGUCAACUCCCCACACUGACGGGGCGGAUUUUUUUUUUUUUUUGACAGAGUCUCGCACUGUUGCCCAGGCUGGAGUGCAGCGGCGCGAUCUCGGCUCACUGCAACCUCCGCCUCCCGGGUUCAAGCGAUUCUCCUGCCUCAGCCUCCCGAGUAGCUGGGAUUACAGGCGCACACUACCACACCCGGCUAAUUUUUUUUGUAUUUUUCUGGUAGAGACAGGGUUUCACUAUGUUGGCCAGACUGGUCGAGAACUCCUGACCUCGUGAUCCGCUCCUAGGUUCGCCUUGGCCUCCCAAAGUGCUCGCUCCUGGGCGUCCCAAAGUGCUGGGAUUACAGGCGUGAGCCACCGCCCCCGGCCGAGGGCGGGUUUUGUUCUCUGCUGUGCCUGUCAGGCAGUCGUUGCCCUGUGGUUAUUUGUGGAGGGAUUGACGGUGCGCUGAGCUUCAGACUUUGUCUGAACAGCUUCGUGGCAGCAAGGAAGGGAGAAGGGAACAGAUCCAAGCCGAUCUUUGGGAGGAGAGAACCAGCAUGACUUGGAGACUUUAGAUGUCAGAGCAAAGGACAGGGUGCAGCUUGGUGACCCGGAGUGGGUGGGUGGGUGAAUGGAUGGAUAGAUAGUGGGGAUGUGGUCUGCCAUCACUGCCCUCUUCCCUGUGUGGGAAGCCAGCUCUUGGUGACUUCCUGCCGAGACCCACUCCCUCUGGCCCUGUCCGAGGGUGUCAAGUGUGCCCUUGACCCUUCACCCUGGGCUAAGGGAUGUCCAAGGAGUUGGGGACAAAGGCAGCUAGGAGGAGGAGCUACCUCCCGAGUCUGCUGCAGUAAGUCACCAGUGUGUUCCUGUGGGUGGAGGCUGGCAGGCCCAUCAGUCUGGUUUGGGUACCCGUUGGAUUUGGGUUUGAUGACAUGUAAAGUGAGUUAGAGUCUCUGCAUUACUGUCACACCUGCUGUGCCCAGGCAUGGAAGAUUAAGUGGAACAGAGGGGCCGCCCCCCUGCUGAAGGGGCCCCAGAGUCGGCGCUAGGGGAGGGGGCAGCCUCGGUGGUCCAGGCAGGCAUAGGCGGAAUUCUCUGAGGUGGCAUUGGAGUCCAGUGGUCAGAGGUGCUAAAAGGCCCCAAACCUAGAGCCCAUGCCCAGGGCCCCACUGACACCUGGUGGGCAGGGGCAGCCUGGUGACCCCACAUGACAUGGGUGGGCGUGACGCAGCACCAGCUGGGCCGACAGCCCUCCCCCUGCUGGUUUUUAAUGCUCUGCAGUAAUGUCAUUUGGCCUGCGAAUAAGCUUUCACACAUUUUAUAUUAAAUCUACAAGUAUGAUUUAUUCAGGCACUUACGAAUUUAAUCAAAUUUGUUUCUAAAUAUUACUGAUUUUUGUUAUCAAAUGUGCCAUCAGCUGUUGAGCUUUGAGAAUUGAGCAUCCUGGCUUUUGCCAUUUUGAGGAUCAGCAGAAGCAUGUCUGGAAGAAAUGUGAGAAAAUAAAACUCAGGAGCCUACCCCCACCCUGCCCUUCCAGGAGCUCAGCCCCAGAGCCAGGCUGCUAAGGCCAUGGAGGCUGAGGGCAGUGGAGCUGGGGUUUCUGGAGCCUCAGGGGCCCUGGUUUGCUGGAAGGGCAGGCAGGGCUUCAUGGAGGGCAUUAGGCAGUGGCCAGAGCCCUGCAGUGCUGGGCAUGGGCUUCUCGUGGGCUCUGGCCACGGCCCUGAGCUCCUCCCCUUACCUUCCCAGAGCGGAGGGUCACCUGCUGAGCUGGGCACGGGCUUCUCGUGGGCUCUGGCCACGGCCCUGAGCUCCUCCCCUUGCCUUCCCAGAGCGGAGGGUCACCUGCUGACAGUUUGGGGCGGCUCUGUCUUUGAGAGCAUGCCCUCAUGAAGGCAGAAUGUCCUCCCUGCCUCCAUCCUCUGUGGCCCGGUGGCUCCUGCAGUGCCUGCCCUCAGAGGCUGGUGGCCUGGGACACAGGGAUGAGGAUGGGCUUGGUGGUGCUGCAGGUCACAGUGGGUCAUGAAGGAGCUUUGGGGGUGUUGCAUUCUCUGGUAAAGCACAGCAAGGGAGCCCUUUUACCCACUACUAAAACCUGGCUCUGCACUGAGGCCAUGCGCAGCCCAGUCAGGUGGACGAGGGGGUAACGACUGGACCGUGGGGAGGCAUCAGAGGAGGAGCUGCUGAGAGGCGGGUCACCACAGCCUGGUGCCUGUCUGGAGAGGGUGGGGCUGGGGGAGGUGCUGGCCAGGUCCAUGGGGGUGGCCAGGCUGGGUCUGAAAGGGCCUUGCGCUGGUGUGGGGUGAGCUUGGUCUGUUGGGAGAGUAUGCAGUUCAUUGGGGCCUCCCUGGCUCCAGGUUUGCAUGUCUGAGGAGUGGGUAUCAUCAGGGCCUGGGGCCUCUCCAGUGGGCAUGUCUGAACUCUCCCAGGGUUGGGAGCCUGUGCUCAUCACAAGCUCAAAGCACUCCAUUUCUGCUACCAUGAAGUCAAGGAUGGUGACUGUGAGCCGCCUGGGACCUGAGCUGCCUGGGACUGUGACUGAGGCACCCGGGGUGCCUCUUAGGGCCUUGGGUUUGGGCCCAUGGCUAGAUGAGCCUUGGUGAUUCUGUGGUAUUGCCUGGGCCAGGUGGACCCAGGGGCAGCUGCGGCUAGUCCAUUUGGAGCUCCUUCAAGCCGAAGCAUCCAACACCAGUGUCUGUGAGGUGUGGGCCCGGCCCCAGGAGCGGGGCCUGGGCAGCCCCGUGUGUUGAGGAAGGAAGGCAGGGCCCCCGCUCCCCGGGCCUGACCCCACUGCUUCAGCCCCCUCCUGCCUGCCUACAGCCUGGCCUCGAGGGCCCAUCAGGUGAGGGGACCCCACCUGCACCACCCCGUCCUACCUCCUGGAGGAGGCCUUGCCCCUGACAGGCAGCCUCCAGCCCUCCCACCCUGAUCCCUGUGUGGGAUGGCCAGAGCAUGCCCAGCAUGCUGGGGUUCGGCGGUGGGGGGCAUCUGGAGGGAGGGACAUGUCAGUUCGGGGAGGGAUGAGCAGCCUAAGUGACUGCAGUGCUGGGCCAUCUCCUGCAUGGUGGAGCUCCCCUCGAGCCGCCUGUCUGCAGGGGGCUCUGGCCAGUAGUGCAGCCGGGCAGGGUCUGUACGGCACAGGCUGCACCAGCCUCCAUGCAGACCAGUCUGUGUGGGAGUGGGGGUCUCAGAGGGCCCAGCCGGCCUAUGCCAUGAGCAUGGUGCUGGCCCAGAGGGGGAGCUGAACAGCAGCUGGGUCGGUGCGUUACCUGGUGGGGCAGCAGACAGCAGCUGCCCUGGCUGGGGUUCAAGCCCCGGGCUGGCCUGGUGGAAUCCCCUCUCCGUCACCCCCAGGUUCUGUUCUUGCAGGUGUCAGGCCUGGGGCCUUGAGACAGACCUGCAGUCUCCACCACAGCCACAGUGGGUGGGGUCUGGGUCCUCACGGAGGUGAUCCUCCACCCCCACACCUACCUUGUGCAUGGCAGUGGUGUCUCCUGGAGCUGGUGAGACCCCACCUCACUCAGGAAACCCCCCAGACGCCCCCAGGCAGAAGUGGCCAUACUCCAGGGCCUGCAUCCCUGUGCCCCACAGUGCGCCCUGGCCGGUUGGUUGUAGGAACUCAGAAAAGCAAAGCAAACAGGAUGGUUCCCUGCUGGACACAUUACAUUCCCUGCUGGACACAUUUCUAUUGCAGAUCUUUAGUCCAGGAUUCCAGGGUAGCCAAGGUCACCUGAGUCCUGGGGACUCUGGGCCUGGUCUCUGAAAGCAGCCAGUAAGACAGAGAUGGGAAACCCAGCAAGAUGGAGUGAGCCAAGGGCACAGUUGGGUCCAGGCGCAGCAGGGAGCUGCCUGGGGGUGACACACACUUGACGGAGGCCACUGCACACACCCUACCCCGGCCUGAACUUGAGCACUUCCUUUUUUUUUUUUUUUUUAGAUGGAGUCUCACUGUAGUCCAGAUGGAGUGCAAUGGCGUGAUCUCGGCUCACUGCAAGCUCCGCCUCCCCGGUUCACGCCAUUCUCUUGCCUCAGCCUCCUGAGUAGCUGGGACUACAGGUGCCCGCCACCACACCCGGCUAAUUUUUUUGUAUUUUUAGUAGAGACGGGGUUUCACCGUGUUAGCCAGGAUGGUCUUGAUUUUUCGACUUCAUGAUCCGCCUGCCUCGGCCUCCCAAAGUGCUGGGAUUACAGGCGUGAGCCACCAUGCCCGGCCAAGCACUUCCUUGAACACAGAGGUGACCAUGAGGAGGGAGGCGUGAACCAGGAUGACGGGGCAGCAGAUGGAGCCUGCCUCCCUGAGACCUCAGGUGACCGAGUGCUGGACUGCCUCCUCCUGCCUACAUGGCUGAGAAAUAAACUUCUUUUUCAAACCACUGUGACCUGGGGUUUUCUGAUACCCUCAGCAAGCCUGUUCCUGUGGCCUGGUGUGGGUCCCCUGACCUGUGGCCUGGGCUGCCUGUAUCCGGCCUGCCCCUCUGCUCCGCUGUAAACCUGUGAUGGCAGUGGAGGGGCUUGGCCUGGGCCCGCCCCACCGCGAGGUCUUCCCCUCUCCGAGUUCUGGGUGUGGUUUCAGUUGAGCCACGCCGUUGGACUGGGCCGGCCUGGAGGACAGAAGGCACAGGCUCUUCCACAUACCUGGCUCGUGGCCCAUGGGCCGUCUGCUCACGGGAGCCCUGCACCAGGCCAUGCAGAGCAGUGAAGUCAAAACCUCGUUUCCCAGGUCUAAGGUGAACUGGGAGCAGGGCAGGAGUUGGCUCUGUCAGAUGCCACAGUUGUUUGGGGACAGUGUCCGUAGAGAAUGUGUGGCCCCCCUCCGUGGUCUAGGGUGGAGCGUGGAUAGGCCGGUCACUCCUAUCCCUGGGCCCAAGGCUCUUUUCCCCUGCCCUCCCGUGGGCUGGGAACUGCCACAGCUCAGACAAAAAUCGGCCAGGGCAGGGUCCUGAGGCUUCAGUCCCAGGCUCCUUAGGGCACCCCUGGUGACCCAGCUCCAGCACUGAGUUUCCAGAGGCCUUGAGGAUUUCCCUGGGAUGCCAGAUGGGCCCUUCCUGCUGCUCCUGGGGUCAUCUAAGCUCCAGGCUUGGGUGCAGCCCUGGGCCCCUGCCACAGACGCCCUGAAUGCACCUGCCCCUCCCGGUCCCCACGCAGCAGCCUCCUGAGCUGCGGAUCAUUUUCCUAAGAAGGCAUUCUACUUGUGCCAGUCCUUACUUAAAGACCCCUGCUGGUGCUGGCAGCGUGCUACCGGGAAGGAUGGUAUCUCCUGUGCGUGUCCUGUGUACGCUGGCCUCACACGUGUGUGCCUCAUGCGGGCUGUGCCCUCAGUCCUAUACGCUCUCCCCAACCCUCUUUUAGGGUGUCACAGGAGAAAAAUGACACAUUCCUAAAUCUCUAACACAUGGGCUUGAAAACAAGUCUGAGGAUGCCCUGCAGAAGGGCCAUGGGCAUGGACAUGGAGCUGGGUGGCCUCGUGCACUGACCUUUCCCUCUUCCUAGCCCCAGGCCCGACCUAGAGGCCACAGCCCCUGCGGACAGGCUGUGGGGCCAG